AUACAGGCAAAACAAGGGAAAUCUUGUGACGCAAAACUACAGGGCCUAAAAGAUUUUGAGUUCUAUUGGCAGCCAGUUGC
rnacentral:ncRNA from 1 species